CCACUCCACCCAUCCCAACCAAUGACAGCACCAGCUAUAGGCUUGAAGCCAGAACCUUCAUAGUCAUCGUUUAAUGUACUUUCAGUUGACUUGAGGUCUGCAGAGCCUCCUGACCAGUGGGAAAUCAACCUGUGACCUUCACGCAUCCUUUCUCUACUGUUAUGUCUUCCCCCUUCUGAUGCUGUCUAUGAUGUAGGAGAAACCAAUAGCCUAUGAAGCACCUCAGACGUUUAGGGAGCCAGCAAAGGAAGAGAAGGCCAAGAAGAAAGCUGAGAAGAAAUAGAAAGGCAGGAAAUUCUCUGACCUACCCUAGCUGACUGUACAUCCUAAGACCCCAUUUCAGAAGGGGUCCUGCCUCAUGCCCGGGAGGAAGGAAUGCUGUAUCAAGAUGUCAAGAAGAACCUGAAUAAGCAGGUCUUGCCGGGGUUCCCCAUCCAGUCCGUUAGUGUUAGAUCACACCCUUUUUGUCCAACCACAUUUCUAUAUGUCCAUGAUUCAAUCAUGCCUGGUAUCUUCAUGUUUUAAUGAAGCUUCCUUUAAAACCCACACACAGGGUUUGGAGAGCUUUCGGAUAGCUGAACAUGUGAAGGUUCCUGGAGGGUGGCAUGACUGGGGAGA